rnacentral:rRNA from 1 species
UUUGUUACUUUUUUUAUUUUAUUUUUGUAAAAAGGGUUAUUUUUUGUUGUUUUUGCUCAAAAGUUUAAAAUUUGGUGGUUGAACCGGAUUAGUACCCCGGUAAACAAAAUUUAUUAAUUCGGGAGUAAAGAUUUUUUUAAACCGAAAAAAUAUUGGCUGAUUUUAAUUUUUUUUUUGGAACAAGUGAUUGGAGAGUCCUUUUUUAUGGUUUUUUUUUUUGAUACAUGUAUGAUUGUUGUUUUUUUAUAUUUUGUAUAUUAUUUACAAUUUUUUUGUUUAAGACAGAAAUAUAUUUGGUUUAUGGAAGGAGUUUUCAUGUGUUACUUUUGUUAAAUUUUUGUUUUGGAGUUUUUUUUUGUUUUGAAAUGGA